GACGAACGCUGGCGGCGUGCUUAACACAUGCAAGUCGAACGGUGAACGAGGGAGCUUGCUCCCUCCGGAUCAGUGGCGAACGGGUGAGUAACACGUGAGCAAUCUGCCCCGAACUCUGGGAUAAGCUUUGGAAACGACGUCUAAUACCGGAUACGACUCGGGAGGGCAUCCUCUCCGCGUGGAAAGAACUUCGGUUCGGGAUGAGCUCGCGUCCUAUCAGCUUGUUGGUGAGGUAACGGCUCACCAAGGCGACGACGGGUAGCCGGCCUGAGAGGGUGACCGGCCACACUGGGACUGAGACACGGCCCAGACUCCUACGGGAGGCAGCAGUGGGGAAUAUUGCACAAUGGGCGCAAGCCUGAUGCAGCAACGCCGCGUGAGGGAAGACGGCCUUCGGGUUGUAAACCUCUUUUAGCAGGGAAGAAGCGAAAGUGACGGUACCUGCAGAAAAAGCACCGGCUAACUACGUG
rnacentral:rRNA from 1 species